rnacentral:rRNA from 1 species
UUACGGUCAAAUCACGCUGAAACACCGGUUCUCGUACGAUCACCGAAGUUAAGCAUCGUAGAGCCAGGUCAGUACUUAGAUAGGGGACCGCUUGGGAACACCUGGUACUGUAAG